rnacentral:tRNA from 4 species
GGAGGGGUGUCCGAGCGGCUGAAGGAACACGCCUGGAAAGCGUGUAUACAUUAACGUGUAUCGAGGGUUCGAAUCCCUCCCCCUCCG